rnacentral:rRNA from 1 species
AGAGUUUGAUCCUGGCUCAGGACGAACGCUGGCGGCGUGCCUAAUACAUGCAAGUCGAACGAACCGCGACGAGAACUUGUUCUGGUCAAGGUUAGUGGCGCACGGGUGAGUAACACGUGGGGAACCUGCCCUUUAGUGGGGGAUAACAGUCGGAAACGACUGCUAAUACCGCAUAGACAACUUAACCGCCUGGUUAAGUUGGGAAAGGUGCUACGGCAUCAUUAAAGGAUGGCCCCGCGGUGCAUUAGCUAGUUGGUAAGGUAACGGCUUACCAAGGCGAUGAUGCAUAGCCGACCUGAGAGGGUGAUCGGCCACAUUGGGACUGAGACACGGCCCAAACUCCUACGGGAGGCAGCAGUAGGGAAUCUUCCGCAAUGGACGCAAGUCUGACGGAGCAACGCCGCGUGUGUGAAGAAGGUUUUCGGAUCGUAAAGCACUGUUGUUAGAGAAGAACGGCUACUAGAGGAAAUGCUAGUAGAUUGACGGUAUCUAACCAGAAAGCCACGGCUAACUACGUGCCAGCAGCCGCGGUAAUACGUAGGUGGCAAGCGUUGUCCGGAUUUAUUGGGCGUAAAGGGAGCGCAGGUGGUUUCUUAAGUCUGAUGUGAAAGCCCACGGCUUAACCGUGGAGGGUCAUUGGAAACUGGGAAACUUGAGUGCAGAAGAGGAAAGCGGAAUUCCAUGUGUAGCGGUGAAAUGCGUAGAUAUAUGGAGGAACACCAGUGGCGAAAGCGGC